UACGGGGGGGGCAAGCGUUGUUCGGAUUCAUUGGGCGUAAAGGGUGCGUAGGCGGCGCGGUAAGUCGGGUGUGAAAUCUCGGAGCUUAACUCCGAAACUGCAUUCGAUACUGCCGUGCUUGAGGACUGGAGAGGAGACUGGAAUUUACGGUGUAGCGGUGAAAUGCGUAGAUAUCAGGAGGAACACCGGUGGCGAAGGCGGGUCUCUGGGCAGUAACUGACGCUGAGGAGCGAAAGCGUGGGGAGCGAACAGG
rnacentral:rRNA from 1 species